GGAAUCUUCCACAAUGGGCGCAAGCCUGAUGGAGCAACACCGCGUGAGUGAAGAAGGGUUUCGGCUCGUAAAACUCUGUUGUUAAAGAAGAACGUAUCUAAGAGUAACUGCUUAGGUAGUGACGGUAUUUAACCAGAAAGCCACGGCUAACUACGUGCCAGCAGCCGCGGUAAUACGUAGGUGGCAAGCGUUAUCCGGAUUUAUUGGGCGUAAAGCGAGCGCAGGCGGUUUGAUAAGUCUGAUGUGAAAGCCUUUGGCUUAACCAAAGAAGUGCAUCGGAAACUGUCAGACUUGAGUGCAGAAGAGGACAGUGGAACUCCAUGUGUAGCGGUGAAAUGCGUAGAUAUAUGGAGGAACACCGGUGGCGAAAGCGGCUCUCUGGUCUGUAACUGACGCUGAGGCUCGAAAGCGUGGGGAGCAAACA
rnacentral:rRNA from 1 species